CAGCCCCUCGAGUGGUGGGGAUGAUUAUUUGGCCUAAAGCGUCCGUAGCCGGCCGUGUAAGUCCCCCGUUAAAUCCAGCGUCUCAAGCGUUGGACUGCGGGAGAUACUGCUCGGCUAGAGAGUGGGAGAGGUGUGCGGUAUUCUGGGGGUAGGGGCGAAAUCCUUUGAUGCCCGGAGGACCACCAGUGGCGAAGGCUGCACACUAGAACACGUCUGACGGUCAGGGACGAAAGCUGGGGUAGCGAACCGGAUUAGAGACCCGAGUAGUCC
rnacentral:rRNA from 1 species